rnacentral:rRNA from 1 species
GCCUAGGCCAUACCACCCUGAAAGCGCCCGAUCUCGUCUGAUCUCGGAAGCUAAGCAGGGACGGGCUUGUUAGUACCUGGAUGGGAGACCGCCUGGAAUACCAGGUGUUGUAGGCU